GAGGCAAGACAGCUGAGCUUCUAAAGCAUGUAUCAGAGCUCAAUGAAGCUAUUCUUCAUUCAAAGCUGGAUGCUAUUGAAGCAGAGAAAGAGAACUCUGCAGUUCUAUCUGAGAAAAAGGCAGAGUUACAGUUAGUGACAGCAACUUUGGCUCAAGCACAGGAACAACUAGAAGAGUUGAGGAAACAAACAGAGAUAGUGCAGUUUCUGGAAAAUGAGCUCCUGGCUAAAUCGGUAUUUAUUGAAACCCUGCAAUUUGAACUUAAAGAAGCCAAUGAACUUCACAGUUUAUCUGCAAAAGCUGCUUCUGAAGCUAUUAACAAUUUAAACCAGCUAAAAUCAGAUUUUGAAAGGCAGGAAAGAGAGAACUCAGAACAAGCAGUAUCCAUUAACUCACUGGAAAUGGAGCUUAAUCAGUUGAAAAUAAAGCUUAAGAAUGCAAAUGGUAGGCCGUUUAAAGUGUGAUGUUGAGAUGCUUACAGGGGAAUUAGAGAAGACAAAAAUUGAGGUGGAUGAGAUUAGAGGAAGGGAGAAUGAAGCUCAAGUUGAAAUAGCACUUCUGAAAUCUGAGCUUCACAAAGGGAGGUCAAGAAUUGCAGCAGCAGAGGCAGCUGAAGCAAGGGCUGAGAGUGUUAAGUCCGGGCUAUAUCUUGCAGUCCAGCAACUAGCAGUAGAAGCAGGAGAAGCCAAGAAGGAGAGCCAAAGGCUAAAACAAGGAGCGGAUGAAGCAAAAGAAAUAACUAGAGAGACUGUCUCUGUCAACCCCCAAUUUGAAGUCUCUUCUCAAGAUUUAGAACUUUCCCAAAAAGAUGAAUACAAUAAAGAAGCUAAAGCAAGAAAAGAUGACCACAUCACAAUUUCAGUGAUUGAAUAUGAAUCAUUGGUUAGCAAGGCUAAGAAGGCGGAUCAAAUUCCAGUAUUGCUAUCUGAAAAUUUAAGUCAAUCGGCCACAUUUGAAAAUAGGGAUGAGGCGGAAGUUCUGAAGGAGUUGGAAUUUGCAAUGGUGAGAAUUGCUGAGUUUAGGACUCAGGCAGAGCAGGCAGUGAGCAGGGCUGAGAUGGCUGAGAAAGCUAAGGCAGCAAUUGAGGAACAACUAAGGCAGCGGCGAGAGCAGAGGCAAAGGAAAAGAGCUGCUUUAGCAGCGCUCCAUGAAGAGUCUGUCCGAAAAGAGAACAAUAUUCUUAAAUUUGAGCAGACUCCUACAACAUAUCAGCCACUGGGUAAGGUCCUCAACAUGAAAUUCUAGUCUACCUGGAGAAUUUCAGAUAUUUUGUCCUAUUUAAGUAAUUGUGUAUGGCAUAAACUACUUCAAGGACUUCCAACUUAUUUCUCUUUUAGCUGAUUUGGUCCAAGGCCUAUUUAAUAGGUAAUUAUAUAUUCCUCUCAUGUGAUUUACAGCAUUUUAAUAAGGUGCAAACACAAGUGACCAAAGAAAAAAAAAAAAGUAAGAUAAAAAAUCUAGGCAUAUAGACCUUGGUGUGCUUUUCAUGAGGGUUACUAAUUCACCUAGAACUUGUCAAAUUCCAUAUAUGUUCAUGUACCAAAAUAUUCAUCCUCCCAAUUAGAAGGACAAUGGUAGUUCUUGAGGAUCUAAGAUGCAUGUGUAUGCUAUGCUAUGUUUUGUCCCUAAAAAUCAGUCCAACAGUACGCAACCUUGGAGGAUAGUAUCUUAAAGCCCUCACUUGUCACUAAUCCAAGGUCUUUUAGUCUAUGGUCUAAAAUCAUAUUUGAGGAAAGGCUUUUGGUGAGAAAUUGGUAGUGAGAAGAUUGUCAUAAGAUUCAGCAUUUCUUAUUCGAAAAUGUAUGUUAUCAUUUCAGUGAAAGUUAACUUGGAAUCACAACAAUGUUUAAUGUUUUCUACGUGACUUCGGGUAUCAAUAGGACCCUGAUUUCCUGGAAUGCUGCCUAUGUGCCUUGUCUCAAAAUGUCCUAGCUCUUCCAGUAAUCUUCAUCUCUAGGAUGGGGACUCACCAUCUGGUCCUUUUUAGCAUAAGCAUCACCAGGGUAGAUGGCUGAUAUGCCAGCCAUCUCUCAGUGUCUCCAUGAAAGAUGUUCUUCUCUGGAAAUAUAAGCUGCCAAUACACAUAAAUUGCAAGAAUAAGUGCAUAGGUCUCACUUAUUUUCUUAUAACUUCCACAAGGAAUAACAAAGGAAAACCAAACAACUGUAGGAUAACACCAGAUCAAGUGAUCAUACAAACCACUGGCCUUGUUCUCUGCACAUGAAUCCACAAAUUUAAUGGCUCAUUACUGCCUAAAGACUUCAUGCGAUAGUCCACUACUCAAUGCCUCAAGCAUAUGACAAGAUCUUCAUGCUAGCUGAACUGCUUAAGAUAUGGAGCAGCAGACUUAUCUCAUGAACCUUUUAGACAGUGGUACCCUGAUAAGAGCAUAUGCUUAGAAGCCUCCCAGCUUCUUUGUAAAUCUUAGCAUCUGUAUUCAUGCUGAAUUUUUGGCUAACAGGGAUAUUUAAGUAGUAGUUUGCGUUUGUUGAGUCUUAUAAAUUCUUGUGAAAUCGUAUUUAUGCGGAGUUUCCUGUACAAGCUUAUUCAGUAUUCUUUUUCUCUUUGAACCUAUUUGGUAGGCUGUAUUUGGAAUGUAAUCAUGGUUUGAAGUAUCGGCCCAAAAGAUUGUGUCCAACACGCAAGUCAGUGACUCACAUCUAAGUCAGGACUGGAUUGUUACUCAUCUGGACAGAUAUUGGGAACCAUGAGUAUAAUUCAAAUACAAAGCCUGUCAAAAUGUUUCAAAGAGAAAGGAAUUCUUGACAGGGCUUCAUAGGACACUCAUCAAAGGCAAUAAGAUUUUGCAAGAAUUUACACGACUCCUCAAGGCAAAGCUAGCCCUCUUUUCUAAAAAUAUUCAUGUUAGCCAAAUGCCUAGCCGGUACCUUUUAAGUUCGGUAGGCCAA
rnacentral:lncRNA from 1 species